rnacentral:rRNA from 1 species
AUUGAACGCUGGCGGCAGGCCUAACACAUGCAAGUCGAGCGGAGCGUCGGACGGGUGAGUAAUGCCUAGGAAUCUGCCUGGUAGUGGGGGAUAACGUCCGGAACCGGGCGCUAAUACCGCAUACUAUCAGAUGAGCCUAGGUCGGAUGAGCUCGUUGGUGGGGUAAAGGCCUACCAAGGGGACGAUCCGUAACUGGUCUGAGGGGAUGAUCAGUCACACUGGAACUGAGACACGGUCCAAGCGCCUACGCGAGGCAGCAGUGGGGAAUAUUGGACAAUGGGCGAAAGCCUGAUACAGCCAUGCCGCGUGUGUGAAGAAGGUAUUCGGAUUGUAAAGCACUUUAAGGUUGUAGGCGUUACCAGCAGAAUAAGCACCGGCUAACUUCGUGCCAGCAGCCGCGGUAAUAC